ACCAGAGCUGCCGCUGGACAGCGAGACCCAGGACCCUCCGGUGGCCAGGGACACCUCCACUGUCAUCUGCUUCCUCCGAGGACUGAAUCAUGUAGAAAGGACAGAAAGUGAGCAGGGAGCGGGGGCUUUUGUCUAUUGUUCUCCUUGUGCUACUUGAGAGAAACUGCAAUCGCAAGACUUAACAGAAUCUAAAAAUGGU